UACAGAGGUCUCAAGCGUUGUUCGGAUUCAUUGGGCGUAAAGGGCGCGUAGGCGGCGCGGUAAGUCGGGUGUGAAAUCUCGGGGCUUAACUCCGAAACUGCAUUCGAUACUGCCGUGCUUGAGGACUGGAGAGGAGACUGGAAUUUACGGUGUAGCGGUGAAAUGCGCAGAUAUCAGGAGGAACACCGAUGGCGAAGGCAGGUCUCUGGGCCGAUACUGACGCUGAGGAGCGAAAGCGUGGGGAGCGAACAGG
rnacentral:rRNA from 1 species